UCAUUUUGGUGCUGACUAAAUCCAAGCCAGAUGGUUGCCCUUGUGCAGGGCCUAGGGCCAUUGGAGUUGCCCGCUGAGAUUUCACUGACCACUCACAGGCCGAUCCUGGCUCAGAGGUGGACACAGACAGCUGGAGAUGCUGGGCUAGAAGCAGAAGUAUAGACAGAAGGUUCUGUCAACACCUGGCCAUGAUGGCUAACAGGCCAAGCACGCAAGCUGGCGGUGUCUAGCGAUCGGUACUCUUUCACGUGUGAUUUUGCUGAGGCAGGCAAUGAACAGGGGUGUUUGACAAGAGAAAUGUUUCCAGAAGGUGUUUGAACCGUGUCUUGUCUUUUCUGUAUUCUGAGGCUUUGGCAUCUGGAACCUUGCUGACCCUGACGGUUCCUCCCAGGGCUAGCUAAUGCUUGCCAAAUCUCCUGUCAAGUGCAAACCAACCAAUGACGACAGGCUGAGGUUGUCAAACAACCCAAACGAAAUCUGCUUGCCUUUCUUUCGCUUUCCUUCCUUCUGCCUUCCAGGGAAACAGUGCUCUUCAUGUGGUCCCCAUGGCACAGCAGUGCCCCGUUUUGGAACCUGAAUUGCCACAGCUUUUUUGGACUCUGACCCUUCUAACUUCCCAAUCUCAUCAUCAACGGACAAAAUGGCUAAGACACGUGAUGCUUUACAUCAUUACCCUGUUCGAUGACUGACAGUCUAAUGACAGCAUUAGCAGUGACACCAAUGGCACUGGCCCGAGCGAGCAGCCUGUAUGUGACAAGACACCAUGCGCGGGGAUUUGCACCUGUUAGCUCCCUGGACAAUCACUGUGUUAUUUGUCCACAAAGGAGGCUCAGGAAGACUCAACAAUUUGGGAUUAAAACAGCACCUAAGGGCACAUGGUAAUCCUCGCCGACGCAUCUUCAUCCGCCCCGCUAAAUCCCAAGUGGGGCUGACGUGAAGCCCACCCAGGCAGAGCUUCAAAUUGACAUAAUUUAUUUAAUAAUACUUGGCUUCACAUAGCUUAUUAAAACCAUUUCACUAUGGGGA